CCCUUGAGGCCAGUUAGGCCCCAAAAAAAAAAAAAUGAAAGAAAAUGGUUCCUGGAGGCCCGGAGCAGAUUUCUAUCUGCCUGCAGAAGAAGUUCCCAGCUUCCGAGUUGCGAUCUACCAGUCUCUUCUCCGGCGAUGCUCUAGUGAUAUUGCCACUGUCACAUACACUAACGACGAAGACGAGAUGAGAGAGUCUAAUGGCAACAGCAAGAUUCGAUGGUUUUGGAUUUGGGUGAUUGCUUCCAUCAUUUUCAGGCUCAUCCUCAUUUACUUUCCCAAAAGCCUCAACCUCUCUUCUCGCCCAGAAGUUUCCACUCCUCUAACCAGCAUCCGUCGUCUGGCCGAGGGAUACUGGUUGAAGCAGUCUUCAUUGUCACCAUAUGCAGGAUCAAUGUACCACGGGUCUCCUCUGUUAUUGACGCUCCUCGGUCCGCUAACGGUUAGAAGAAUUGAAGGACAACCGGAUCAUCUCUUAUGCAGUUUGGUUCUUGUGAUUGCAGAUGCAGUUAGUGCAAUGCUCAUUCGUGCUGCUGGUCAAAGCCUUAAGAUGUCAUCCAGCUCAAGUUUAAAAUCCAUAGGCCUUCCUCACUUACUAGAAUACUCAGAGGUUCUUCCUUCUGGUGAUAUUGCUGCUCUUGUAUACCUAUGGAAUCCUUUCACAAUAGUAGCUUGUGUUGGUUUGUCCACAUCUGCAAUUGAGAACUUGAUGAUUGUACUGUCAAUUUAUGGAGGAUGUAAACGACAAGCUCCACUGGCAGCUUUUGGGUGGGUCAUGGCUACACAUUUGUCUCUGUACCCUGCAAUCUUGAUUAUCCCAGUGGUGUUGUUAUUUGGCUAUGGUCCAGAUGCUCCUCCUAGGAAACUGUUACAGCAAAGGACAAAAAUGGACAGUUCGUCUUCAAUUGAUAACAGUUUUGUAGAAAAGGAUGUGAAGGAUCAGCUAAGGGGGCUGAAUUUCUUUUCAUGGAAGCCAGUCUUGCAUUUUUUGUUCUGGAUUUUGCUGUGGUCAUCCUAUGUUUUAGUUUUAUGUGGCAUUUUUGCCAGACAGCAUGGUGGUCUCAAAGAGUUGUUUAAAAGAACUUAUGGCUUCAUUCUUACUAUACCUGAUCUGUCUCCAAACAUAGGUGUUCUGUGGUACUUCUUUGCAGAAGUUUUUGACUUCUUCAGAAAUUUUUUUCUAAUAGUAUUCCAUGGGAAUGUUUUGUUGAUGAUUGUACCAUUAGCCCUACGGCUUAAUCACCGCCCAUGCUUUCUAGCUUUUGUAUAUACUGUGAUUGCUUGUAUGCUGAAGUCAUAUCCAUCAGUUGGUGAUUCAGCUCUAUACUUGGGUAUACUGGGGUUAUUUGCUUAUGAACUCUCUGACAUGAAGUUUUCAUUCUUCCUGUUUUGUGGUUAUGUUGGUGUUUCACUCCUUAGCCCUGUGAUGCACAAUCUAUGGAUAUGGCGGGGUACUGGGAAUGCGAACUUCUACUUUGCAACUGCAAUUACUUAUGCUUGCUUGCAGCUUAUUCUGGUGGUUGAAAGUGUUAGUGCCGUGCUCAAUCACGACAGAAUGCUUACAAAGUUAACCGUGGCAAAGCUUCAAGAUGUCAAGCCUUGAAGAACUCAUUAGAAGCAUGCUUGCAUAUAUCAACGGAGGUUCUCUGGAUUCUGUGAGCUCCAGAAGAAGGAUCAUGACUUGGCUUCCACGAUCCAUGACUGUGCCAUUAUAUGUAGGAAAGAAAAGAGUAAAAAGGUGGUUCAAAGUGACGUCAUGGCUGACUAUCUUUUAGAAACAGGGCCCCCCUAGAGCCCCGGAAUGUAAGGAACAAUGCACUGGUUGGUCGGAUAAUUUGGAACAUGCCUUGUGAGGGAUCAACUGCAGGUAGUAGCAGGUUGCACAAUUGCGUGUGGAUGGCUCCCUCCAUUAUUCAUGUUGUUAUGCUGCUGCUGUGGCUACUUUGUGUUGCGUUUCAUUGACCACGUGCUUGAUGAUAGUAAAUGCCAUCUUCAUCCC